rnacentral:rRNA from 1 species
CGAAGGGGGACAACAGUUGGAAACGACUGCUAAUACCGCAUACGAUCUAAUCUCGGCAUCGAGGAUAGAUGAAAGGUGGCCUCUACAUGUAAGCUAUCACUGAAGGAGGGGAUUGCGUCUGAUCAGCUAGUUGGAGGGGUAACGGCCCACCAAGGCGAUGAUCAGUAGCCGGUCUGAGAGGAUGAACGGCCACAUUGGGACUGAGACACGGCCCAG